rnacentral:rRNA from 1 species
AUGCAAGUCGAGGGGCAGCGAGAUGUAGCAAUACAUUGUCGGCGACCGGCGCACGGGUGCGUAACGCGUAUGCAACCUACCAUAUACAGGAGGAUAACCAUUCGAAAGAAUGACUAAUACUCCAUAGUAUUAUAGAGAGGCAUCUUUUUAUAAUUAAAGAAUUUCGGUAUAUGCUGGGCAUGCGUGACAUUAGCUAGUUGGAGAGGUAACGGCUCACCAAGGCUACGAUGUCUAGGGGUUUUGAGAGGAAGAUCCCCCACACUGGUACUGAGACACGGACCAGACUCCUACGGGAGGCAGCAGUGAGGAAUAUUGGUCAAUGGACGGAAGUCUGAACCAGCCAUGCCGCGUGAAGGAAGACUGCCCUAUGGGUUGUAAACUUCUUUUAUACGGGGAUAAACCUAUCUUUGCGAAGAUAGCUGAAGGUACCGUAUGAAUAAGCAUCGGCUAACUCCGUGCCAGCAGCCGCGGUAAUACGGAGGAUGCGAGCGUUAUCCGGAUUUAUUGGGUUUAAAGGGUGCGUAGGCGGACAAAUAAGUCAGUGGUGAAAUCACUCAGCUUAACUGAGUAACUGCCAUUGAUACUGUUAGUCUAGAAUGUAAAUGGAGUAGGCGGAAUGAAUCAUGUAGAGGUGACAUUCAUAGAUAUGAUUCAGAACACCGAUCGCGAAGGCAGCUUGCUAAGAUACAAUUGACGCUGAUGCACGAAAGCGUGGGUAGCAAACAGGAUUAGAUACCCUGGUAGUCCACGCUGUAAACGAUGAUAACUCGUUGUCGGCGA